UUGAUUCCUCGAAUCCUUGAAUGCUUGCCCCAGAGGAUCGACCGUGAGAGCUUCUUGCUUGCACUUUAUAUGACAGCUGAAGCUGGGAAUCCAUAUUUCAGAUUGGGUUAUAACAGCUUGGGUGCAUUUGCUACAAUCAACCACCUUCACUUCCAGGUACUAACCUCUCAAUUUGGUACUUAAUGUACUUUGUGCGACUAAGAUAUAUCUAUCUGUUAGAUAUGGUUUUGGCGACUUAACUAUUCCAAUUGUUGCAGGCUUACUACUUGGCUGUGCCCUUUCCCAUAGAGAAAGCUCCAACGAAGAAGAUAACCACUUUGUAUGAUGAAGUGAUAAUCUCAGAGCUUUUAAGCUAUCCGGUCAGGGGUCUUGUCUUUGAGGGUGGUAACACUCUUCAGGCCUUGUCUGACACAGUCUCUGAUGCCUGCAUUUGCCUUCAAGAGAACAACAUACCAUAUAAUGUCCUCAUCUCC
rnacentral:lncRNA from 1 species